rnacentral:rRNA from 1 species
CCUACGGGCCGCAGCAGUGGGGAAUAUUGCACAAUGGGCGCAAGCCUGAUGCAGCCAUGCCGCGUGUGUGAAGAAGGCCUUCGGGUUGUAAAGUACUUUCAGCGGGGAGGAAGGUGUUGUGGUUAAUAACCGCAGCAAUUGACGUUACUCGCAGAAGAAGCACCGGCUAACUCCGUGCCAGCAGCCGCGGUAAUACGGAGGGUGCAAGCGUUAAUCGGAAUUACUGGGCGUAAAGCGCACGCAGGCGGUCUGUCAAGUCGGAUGUGAAGUCCCCGGGCUCAACCUGGGAACUGCAUUCGAAACUGGCAGGCUAAAGUCUUGUAGAGGGGGGUAGAAUUCCAGGUGUAGCGGUGAAAUGCGUAGAGAUCUGGAGGAAUACCGGUGGCGAAGGCGGCCCCCUGGACAAAGACUGACGCUCAGGUGCGAAAGCGUGGGGAGCAAACAGGAUUAGAUACCCUCGUAGUC